UGGGGAAUAUUGGACAAUGGGCGCAAGCCUGAUCCAGCCAUGCCGCGUGUGUGAAGAAGGCCUUUUGGUUGUAAAGCACUUUAAGAGAGGAGGAGGCUACUUGGAUUAAUACUCUAGGAUAGUGGACGUUACUCGCAGAAUAAGCACCGGCUAACUCUGUGCCAGCAGCCGCGGUAAUACAGAGGGUGCGAGCGUUAAUCGGAUUUACUGGGCGUAAAGCGUGCGUAGGCGGCUUCUUAAGUCGGAUGUGAAAUCCCUGAGCUUAACUUAGGAAUUGCAUUCGAUACUGGGAAGCUAGAGUAUGGGAGAGGAUGGUAGAAUUCCAGGUGUAGCGGUGAAAUGCGUAGAGAUCUGGAGGAAUACCGAUGGCGAAGGCAGCCAUCUGGCCUAAUACUGACGCUGAGGUACGAAAGCAUGGGGAGCAAACAGG
rnacentral:rRNA from 1 species